UACAGAGGUCUCGAGCGUUAAUCGGAAUUACUGGGCGUAAAGCGCGCGUAGACGGUUUUGUAAGUCAGAUGUGAAAUCCCUGGGCUCAACCUGGGAACUGCAUUUGAGACUGCAUGGCUAGAGUAUGGAAGAGGGAAGUGGAAUUUCCGGUGUAGCGGUGAAAUGCGUAGAUAUCGGAAGGAACACCAGUGGCGAAAGCGACUUCCUGGUCCAAUACUGACGUUCAUGUGCGAAAGCGUGGGGAGCAAACAGG
rnacentral:rRNA from 1 species